rnacentral:lncRNA from 1 species
CAGGCCCCCGAGUAACAAACUGACAACACCAAAUAGUUACUUUUAUUUUAAUACUUGAUAUUUAACUUGUAAUUGCAAUUAAUUGAAAUAAAAGAUUUGAUAAUCGACUUGGUCAAGAUAAGUAAUCGAUUUUACGAGUCAAAAUAUGAACCAAGUAACGAGUACAGACCAAGUAACAAUUAAUUGUCCCCAUACCUAGCUUGAUUGAUUUUAUUUUAGUGCAUUAGAAAGAAAUAAGACUGUGUACAUCACUCAUAGCUUUCACCAAUCACCUCUAUGAGUUCAUCUUCUCCUUAUUAUUUACAUAUAGAUAAAAUUAUUUAAUUCAUUUCUAAACCAAAUUAAAAUCUUUUAAAAUAUGGUUUAAUCUUUUUUCAUUUUUUUUAUUUUUGUUUAAUCUGGUUUAAUAAACCAUAUUAUCUUUUUUUUCUUUUUCUUUUUUUUAAUUGGUUUAUUUUUGUUUAUUUCUCCGCCACUGGUUAUAUGUUUUGAUAUUUUCUAAUAUACAUUAUUGGAUAAAUAGAAAUAGUUGAUAGGUUUUGUUCUUUUGAGUGUUGGUGUGAUAGCAAUAGCAAAAGAAAUUAUAAACCAGAUGACUUUUCGUGAUAUCAUGGAAUAAUACCAUUUAAAUAUUAUUUUUGGUAAGUAUAUAUAUAUAUAUAUAUAUAUGAAAGUUAUAAUAGUUUCGAUAAAUUAAAUUUGUUGAUAAAAUUUAAUAAAGAAGUUUUGAUUGAUUAGUAAUGUAAAAAUA